GCCUGGCUGGCUCAGUUGAUAGAGCAUGUGACUCUUGAUCUUGGGGUUGUGAGUUCAAGCCCACGUUGGGUG
rnacentral:tRNA from 1 species